UUUCUUUCAGUGGUCGGUUCUGCAUUUGGCAGGCCAAUUGUCGAUUGUCAUCGAUAUUGAUACGGAUAGGAUGUGCAUUAUGCCGGACGGCGGACGAGAACGAGAACGGAAUGUGUUUCCAUUCGACGGUGCAGCCAAUGAGCCGCCGGAAGCGCCAAUUGCCAGUUGGCAAUUGGGCGCCAUUUUACUGUCCCGCCGACAACAACGGUUAUUGUAAUGCCAUUUGCCGUCCAUUCGUUUGAUGACUCCCACUGCAGUUGUGUCUGUGUGCACCUGGAAAUGACCAUAAUUAAUUGCAUGUACCUGCGGCCAGGCGACUGGGUCAUCAUACCGGUGCCCCUUGGAGCCCACCUCGUGCCAAUUAGAGAACCGCUUGGUUCUUUUGCCGCAUUCCGCAUUGAUUGAUGUGGCGGGCACAAAGAGCCCGAUGGGCUAACCAUCGCUGGUCCUGGCCAACUAGUCAUCCCGCCCAACCGUAUCGACGAUCCCUCGGCGACUUCUCUUUGUUUUACAAGUUAAUAACACUUGAUGGCGACGCACUUCAUUUGGCGCCCGUUUUCAUUUAGCAAGUGAAACUUUUCCGCCCCCACCACCACCGCCACCACGGCCCAUCCAAUUCACUCCACUCCACCCCACUUGGCACUCGGAAGGCUCUCUUAUCCGCCACUGGACUCCACACUUGAGCAUUGUUGGCCAUUAUAAUCGACGCGGUAGCGGCGCUGCCGGCAAAUCGGUUUCGCAUGAAACGCAAUUGUCUAUAAUUACAUUAUCCAAACUAUCAAUUAAACCAAAUUGUCAGACGGGCCGCGCCGGUCCGAGUCCGGAACUCUGCCAGACACACGCAUGACGAGCACACAUGUACAUGCUGUGGCACUGGGAGAAAUAUUUCGAUGGUUGUCAAACAAUAAUACUCAUACACAUAAAUUUUCUCUAUUUCUACAUUUUAUCAUGCACAUAACGUUACAUGUUUAAUAUUUUUUUUAUUAAAACAAUAGACAUGAAUAAUUCCGUAUUAAUCU
ensembl:ncRNA lncRNA:CR43627 long non-coding RNA:CR43627